rnacentral:lncRNA from 1 species
AGGAAAACAACUCAGUAAGGAGGCUGCUGCAUGAGCAGGCAGCAGAGGGUGGGUGUGAAGGGGAUUUGGGAGUUCUCAGUGAUUGGUUGUGACUGGCAAGAGAAGAAGAAGAGUUGCCAGAGCUACCUGCAAAAGAACGAACUCUGAACAUUUGUUUUGUGCCCAUUGACCGGGGGUAAACACACUGAGUGACUUGAGGAAGCAAAGGCUCUGGAGAGGGUCCCUCACUACGUCUUCAGGCUAGAUUCAUCCCGAGGAACAAGUUCCGCCUUGAAUGAAACACACCAGCAUGUGAAACUGACUGGACAACCAUUCUGGCCUCAGAGAAACACAAAUGCAGCAAAGAAGGCUGAGCCAGUUUCCUCUGAGCAGGAAAUUUCAAGGCCUCUUUCCAUCACACCCCAACCUCCCUUACCAAACACAUCUUCCUCUGCACAAUAGAUGCCUUUCUCCAGCGUUUUCCAAAUUGAGUUCAGUAAGAGAGUCACCAGUUUGCCAUAAAUGAAGGCACUCUGUGCCAUGAACAUGAGUUUGGGAAACAAGGCAUCCUUUAUCUUCUUCUUGGAAAAU